UGCGGAGGGAUCAUUACACAACAAAAUAUGAAGGCCUGGCUUUCGCGGCCGGCUGAAGUAUUUUUUUCACCCAUGUCUUUUGCGCACUUGUUGUUUCCUGGGCGGGUUCGCCCGCCACCAGGACCAAACCAUAAACCUUUUUUUCUUAUGCAGUUUCCAUCAGCGUCAGUAAAAACAAUGUAAUUAUUACAACUUUCAACAACGGAUCUCUUGGUUCUGGCAUCGAUGAAGAACGCAGCGAAAUGCGAUACGUAGUGUGAAUUGCAGAAUUCAGUGAAUCAUCGAAUCUUUGAACGCACAUUGCGCCCUUUGGUAUUCCAAAGGGCAUGCCUGUUCGAGCGUCAUUUGUACCUUCAAGCUUUGCUUGGUGUUGGGCGUUUUUUUGUCUCCCUCUUUCUGGGAGACUCGCCUUAAAACGAUUGGCAGCCGGCCUACUGGUUUCGGAGCGCAGCACAUUUUUUGCGCUUUGUAUCAGGAGAAAAGGACGGUACUCCAUCAAGACUCUACAUUUUUCACUUUUGACCUCGGAUCAGGUAGGGAUACCCGCUGAACUUAAGCAUAUCAUAA
rnacentral:rRNA from 1 species